rnacentral:rRNA from 1 species
GAUGAACGCUAGCGGCAGGCCUAAUACAUGCAAGUCGAGGGGCAGCACAGGUAGCAAUACUGGGUGGCGACCGGCAAACGGGUGCGGAACACGUACGCAACCUUCCUUUGAGCGGGGAAUAGCCCAUAGAAAUGUGGAUUAAUACCCCGUAAUAUCGUUGCCAGGCAUCUGGUGGCGAUUAAAGCUCCGGCACUCGAAGA